ACGCUGGCGGCGUGCUUACACAUGCAAGUCGAGUGCGCGUGCCGUAGCAAUACGGUAUGGCGCACGGCGCACGGGUGCGUAACACGUGGGCAAUCUGCCCUCCGGUGGGGAAUAACCUCGCGAAAGCGGGGCUAAUUCCGCAUAACAUUCCCUGGACUUCGGUUCGGGGAUUCAAAGCAGCAAUGCGCCGGAGGAGGAGCCCGCGCCCGAUUAGCUAGUUGGUGAGGUAACGGCUCACCAAGGCAACGAUCGGUAGCUGGUCUGAGAGGAUGGCCAGCCACACUGGAACUGAGACACGGUCCAGACUCCUACGGGAGGCAGCAGUGGGGAAUCUUGCGCAAUGGGCGAAAGCCUGACGCAGCGACGCCGCGUGGGGGAUGAAGCUUCUCGGAGUGUAAACCCCUUUCGACCGGGACGAAUGCCCGCAAGGGAGUGACGGUACCGGUAGAAGAAGCCCCGGCUAACUACGUGCCAGCAGCCGCGGUAAGACGUAGGGGGCCAGCGUUGUUCGGAAUUACUGGGUGUAAAGGGUUCGUANGCGGUGUGGCAAGUCGGGAGUGAAAUUUCUGGGCUUAACUCAAAAGCUGCUUCCGAAACUGCUGUGCU
rnacentral:rRNA from 1 species